AGUUCGUCAGUGGCUUCAGUAGGAGUCAGUCGUCGGCUUGAUAUCGUACAGUCCUAGAAUAGGCCAUCGAUACCGGCUUUUAUAGUAUUGCAAUUGCAAUGUAUUGUAUAAUUAAAGUAGGUUCAUGUCAAUUCCAAUCACGUCUGAGGUCCCAUCGGCGAACGCGGCACGCUAGAGCUGUUGGCUUUUAAAAUAACUCAGCGGUAGCUCGGCUGUGUUCCUGGCUGCUGACAUUCCACUCACCAUCAGGUGGGCCGAACGCUCAUCUGCCUACAAGGCCAAUAAAACAAACAAAAAAACGUGCUUC